GACGAGGGACCCUAGCGUUGUUCGGAAUCAUUGGGCGUAAAGCGGGUGCAGGUGGCUUUGUAAGUCAGGUGUGAAAGCCCAGGGCUUAACUCUGGAAGUGCAUUUGAUACUGCGAAGCUUGAGUGCUGGAGAGGUAACUAGAAUUCCUGGUGUAGUGGUGAAAUACGUAGAUAUCAGGAGGAAUACCGGAGGCGAAGGCGGGUUACUGGCCAGACACUGACACUCAUACCCGAAAGCGUGGGGAUCAAACAGG
rnacentral:rRNA from 1 species